CGAUCGAGUGCUCAGUUGCCCGAAGGUGCAAGUUAUGGUCAGGUCUUUAGUGGAGUGAUUACAUUCGUGUGAUGUGAAAUUUAUCCUUACAAUAUUUUGUAUUCGUGUGACUUUAUCACUGUGUGAAGUGAUGUGUUUUGAUCGACAAAAUUCUUCAGAUGGAAAAAGAAGAGUGAGGGUAAUGUGGAGGUUGGUCGGGAACACCGAUAGUUCCGCCGGUGAUCUCUACCAUCAGUUACGGUGAUAAAAUCUUCCUUCGUGACAAGGUAAGUGUAACACUGAAGUUCUUCGCGGGACACAUCACACGCAAGAUGCACACCAAUGGAGUUGAAAUAGAAUGAAAGGCACUCUAGGCCUGGUCAAAGGCCGGGCCGCGAGGGCGUUGACCACCUGGAACCCUCUCCAGGUAUACAGUGCCCCAGGAACUGUACCGAAUGAAUAAUGGAUGCUUAAUGGAUAAUACGGCCCUGCCUUUUCCCGUAAAUAUAA